UUUAUGACAAUUGCCCAAAGUGACAUAAAAUUUCUUGGUGUUUGGAGGUAAAAAACCAGAAGAAGCUUCUCAAACUUUUGAGAAGCAAAAUAUGUCGUUGGCCACCCCAUUUUGGUCCGGUAUUUUCUGUAACGAUGCUUGAAUUGGGAUGAGCUCAAGUCGGUGACAGGCGGUGCCUCUACCGAUGUGACCUGGUGCAGCGGAGUAUUAAAGUUAGGAAUUGAAUUUUGGGAACAUCAGAUCACACGGUAAUCUGGUGGAGGGAUGGAGAAAACUGUCAGUCCAACCGGGUAAACCCGUGUGGAUAAACGGAAGUGGAGAAAUGAAGCAAUUAGUAGAACGGAGCCUGACAGCGGACGCCUCAAGAAGAAGCUCUAAUGCUUCUUAGAUUUGGCGUUUGCUCAUUGGCAGGCUGAGCUUACAGAGUUAAACUUGACUUUGUCCGAAGCCAGUGAAAAAAUGAAAAAAUGGAGAGCGAAAUGAGCGAACAAAGGGGAAAGAGAGGGAGAAAAAGAGAGGCGGAAAGCGCCACUGAAACGACGACGAAGGAGCCCAGCAUCCUUCGACCUAGCCCCGUUGGUCCAUUGGAACCGUCUCCGGGGAUGAGUUGCUCUCAUCGACGGACACGAGUCUG